rnacentral:lncRNA from 1 species
CUGUCAUGCACUUCGUGAACCUUGGGAGCCAGUGCCACCCUUUCCAGAACAUUCUGCCACCAUGAGGAGCUGAGGAAGCCAGAAGAAGACCCCAGUUGCCAUGAACUCCGCCGUCACUAGCCGUGAGCACUCCACUUACUCGGGCCACACCAGAUGACAGACCUCAACUCUACUUGUCCCUAUGUGGAACCUUCCUCCUCUGGUGGACCUCAGACAAGCCUUGUAACCUCAGGGAGCCUCAAUCUCCUCAUCUGUCAGAGGGAAGCAAUAAGAUGAUGAGGAGUGAUGUCGUGCUCAGCUCCCAACCUAUGGCCAAGGCAGGAGGACAGAUAGGCAGCCCGGGAGUCCCGCAGCAGCUGCCUGGCCUAUGACAUCUUGGACAUCCUGCCAUGUUAUCUCUGUAUCUUCUUGGGGAUUCAGCACUUCCUCACAGCCCUGGGGGGCCUCAUGGCGGUGCCAUUCAUCCUGGCCAAGGACCUGUGCCUGCAGCAGGACCCCCUGACACAGAGCUACCUCAUCAGCACCAUUUUCUUUGCUCCAGCAUCUGCAUGCUCCUGCAAGUGUUUUUAGGGGUCAGGGGUUCUCCAGCCGGCCCAGGUUGUUCAGAUGCUGCUGACCAUGGGCAUGUUCAUCAGUGGAUUUCUGGGUUUUCUUCUAGACAACACCAUCCCCGACUCGAAUCAUUUCUUGGUCUAGCAUCUCCAUGCUGUGGAGGAUACCCGCCCCCUUAGUAGCUGUCUUGGUGAUCAGAUUGACCGUCGAGGCACUGCAGUGCUUGUCCUCAGAACAAGAACCCAGAGCCCACCAAAGGACUGGCGUGAAAGGAGCUGUAGCACUGUAUCCGUCCCACCCUCCACUGGCACCGGAUGGCUGCCCCACAUGACAGGAAGUGUUGGUGUGACCAGACCAGCAGCCCAGGAGCCAUGGGCUAGAGUGGGGCAUUGGGACCGAAUGAGCGGUAACAUGAACAAGCUGAAACACAUUCCUGCCCAGCCUGCCAAGCUGUGGGCAGUGACACGCUCUUAUUUGCCAGACUACAAGAGAAGAUCUGUGACCCUUCUGGGGGCCCAUACCUUGGGGCUCCCCAAGCCAGAGCUGUGACAUGCUGUAACACCCUCUUGCAGCUCCACGGUUGCUGGUGUCUUUGAGUUUUCAGGCACCACGGCGUUCCCCUUGUUGGGAUGCCAGUGCCCAAGGUGGAAGCCACUUGAGGCAUACCUGGUCCAGCCACAGCCUCACAUGGUUCUGACACCUGGAGCUGCCUGCCCUUCUGCAGCAGCUGGUGCACCUGGCUCUGUGGUGUGGCUGGACCCUGUGCUCACUCACACACCUCCCACUACUCCGCGCCUGGCUCACCCAUGAUGGGAAUGGGAUCUGGGCCAGUAGUGCAAGCUGAGGACAGCCUGCUGGGCUGAGUAGGCAGAGCCAGCCCAGCAGUUGUGAGCAAAACUUGGUCAGAGGCGCCACUGGUCACAGAAGUUUCUGGCUGGUGAAGUGGCACUGAAAGAAUCCUGUGUGACUUUGCUCAUCUCAGUUACUCAUUCUGUGGCCACAUCUCAGACUAGCCUUGGGGAUUCCCAGUAGCUGUGCCUGCAAUCCUCAAUUUCAAGCAGUUGUCUGACCACCACCUCCUAUUUUUCCAGCUCACUACUUCUAGUCCCCCAAGUCUAAUAACUCUUUAAUUGGCCAGGAUCUGAAUCUACCGUCCUCCCACCUUCCGCUGGUCCCCUCUUCCCUCCUUGAGCAACCUCAAUGCCACAGUCAGUCAUAAUAACCACCUUCUCGCAUUUGCAACGCCCUUAGUCUGCUCUCUUCUUUACACUCUCUUGGCAAAACCUGAACGCUGAUGAGAAAUAACUCUUCACUCUGCACCUGCACUCGUGCAGUUGAGCAUCUCUGGGGAAAACAUACAGUUGAAUGGAGUGGUUUUAGAUUCAGACCCUGAACUUCACGGGAUCCUCAGUGCCGCCUGGCAGGCAGGAACCCUUUCCCAAGCACACUGCUCUCUCUGCUAAAACUCUUUCCACCUCUGUCUUCUUCUUCUUUUUUUUUUUUUUUUUUUGAACUUCACGGGAUCCUCAGUGCCGCCUGGCAGGAAGGAACCCUUUCCCAAGCACAAGGCUCUCUCUGCUAAAACUCU